rnacentral:rRNA from 1 species
GUGGGGAAUCUUAGACAAUGGGCGCAAGCCUGAUCUAGCCAUGCCGCGUGAGUGAUGAAGGCCCUAGGGUUGUAAAGCUCUUUCAGCUGGGAAGAUAAUGACGGUACCAGCAGAAGAAGCCCCGGCUAACUCCGUGCCAGCAGCCGCGGUAAUACGGAGGGGGCUAGCGUUGUUCGGAAUUACUGGGCGUAAAGCGCGCGUAGGCGGACUGAAAAGUUGGGGGUGAAAUCCCGGGGCUCAACCUCGGAACUGCCUUCAAAACUAUCAGUCUGGAGUUCGAGAGAGGUGAGUGGAAUUCCGAGUGUAGAGGUGAAAUUCGUAUAUAUUCGGAGGAACACCAGUGGCGAAGGCGGCUCACUGGCUCGAUACUGACGCUGAGGUGCGAAAGCGUGGGGAGCAAACAGGAUUAGAAACCCCGGUAGUCC